CCCAUGAGCUCGAGUUCUUUGGUUGAUUGAGGUAAGCUUCAUAUAUUUGAUCUGUGCUGCCAUUGCUCUUAAUGAACCUAAUGCCAUGGGCUAUUCUCUCAUUUUCCGAACCUGCAUCAUUGAAAGAGAAUAUAUAAGCAUCCAGAGAGGUAUUAUCCAAGAAGAUAUUAAUAGGUGAGAGAUGAAUUUAUUUUUUGCUUUCUGACUGAUAUCUUGACUCACCAUUGUUAUGGAAAAUGAUGUUCUUUACGGUUGCAUAUAAAAGAACUGUGAUAUUUUCUAGAUUUCCUGCUCCCAGAAGAUCAGCUGAGGUGUGCCUUACUCCAAAUUCAUCAUAGGUAGUCCCGCCAAUCUUUGUACCCUCAAUAUGAUCCCAGCUAAAUCCGUUAUAAGGAAGAAAUCCUGCCUCAAGAAGACCAA
rnacentral:lncRNA from 1 species